GGGACGGGAGAGUAUUUCGAUCUUUAAAGCAAUUGAUAUUAAGUGUAAAAUUUAAAAUGAGUAAUAUUGUCCAAUUUCUUGAUAAAAGAGUUUUGACUAUUGAAAUUUGAAAACACUUAUUUAUAAAUGGCAUAUACAAGCCCUCAAGGCGGGCGACGGCUCUCAUCAGGGCCCCAAAAUUUGAUGACCCAAAAUUUUUAAUAUAUCUCAUUAAAU
rnacentral:lncRNA from 1 species